rnacentral:rRNA from 1 species
GUCCACGCCGUAAACGAUGGGUGCUAGGUGUGGGGGUGUCGACUCCCUCCGUGCCGCAGCUAACGCAUUAAGCACCCCGCCUGGGGAGUACGGCCGCAAGGCUAAAACUCAAAGGAAUUGACGGGGACCAGCACAAGCAGCGGAGCAUGUGGUUUAAUUCGAUGCAACGCGAAGAACCUUACCAGGGCUUGACAUGCACUGGAAAGCCGUAGAAAUACGGUCCUCCUUCGGGACCAGUGCACAGGUGGUGCAUGGCUGUCGU